UCUUAUAUACAGCUGGUUUAAAAAAAAAAAAAUUAAGCAAAUGCCUUCGAAUGGGUAAAUUCCUAAUUUUUGUAACAAUUUUUGUAAAUACCCUACCUACAUACUUGACAGAUUGUACUGAUUACUGUGAUAAGUUUUAUUUAAAUCCAAACUGUUAUCGGCAUAAAGACACGAAUAAAAGGAAUGUCUGGGAGACGGCUGGAUCAAGAAAAAUACAAUAAACAUAAGAAAAAGAAAAUGUGAGACGGCAGCCGUUAAUAAACAAAUUAUAACUUUUAGAAUUGAAACAAAAAUCUCUGUUUGAUUCAGUACAGCACUGAGGCCCAAUUACAGGGGAACGGGACAUACACGUUACACCCAGAGCCAUGGCGGGAAUCGAACCCACGACCCAAGGUGUAGCGGGCAAGCAUGAUGCUAACUAGCCCACCCCGGGUCCUCCAUAUUUACAUCGAACAGAAAAAUAAAGUUAUCUGUAGUUUUUGUUUUGAGAAUCAACUAUAUUAAUAAUAUGGUUUUGAAUUACGGUUUUCAGUGGAAAUGCUUGAUUAUAAUUAUUAUAAAUUUUUUAAAUGAUAUUCAGUUUAAUUGUU